GAAAUACAACAGCAAAAUCCUACACCGAGGAAAAAGAUUUUCUUGAGAUUCUAAUGGAGAAAAUGGGUACAGCGGAAUCAGAACUAGAUGAAUUGUUUGGACAGAAGAAACGUGUGAAGAACCCUCUUGUUCCAAUGGGUGCACAACUUAUGAAAGUUAUGCUACAUAUACUGUCAAGUGUCUACAUAUACACUUUGUUUGUGUUCGAGGUUGAGAUAUAAGAUCUGAUAUGGGUCUGUCUUUCAAGGUUCUUUGGUUAAAUUUAUUAUUUGAAACUUCAUCCACUGGAAAUAUUGUUUGUACAAAGGAACGUAGGCUAAAAUCUUUUGUCCAUUUAGUUAAUUUGAUAGAUUUUCAGGUGCGCUUAUGACUGCGGGGGUGCUUACCGCUGGAUUAGUUAGUUUCAGGCAAGGGAAUUCUAACUUGGGCCAGAAGCUAAUGCGAGCUCGUGUAGUUGCUCAGGGUGCUACAGUUGCACUUAUGGUUGGCACUGCUUACUACUAUGGCGAAACUUUCACCCGUAAAGACACUUAGCCUCAAGUGAAAAUAUCUUCUUUACAGUGUUCAGUUGUUCUUUAAUUCAUUCAGUAUUUGUUUUCCAUCCUGUGUUUUGUACAAAACUGAACAACCUUAUCCGAUUGAUUGAUCAAUAAAAAAGAUAUACCUGUAUCAACUUUUUCUCUCUCUUUUUGAUGGAAUAUCUGUAUCAACUAGUGUUGAUACAUUUUUCUGUAGAAAGUUGUAAUUUAUAGGUCAUACAAUUCUCUGUUAGAUGUUGAAGUGUACUGAGUCGGGAUUUUUGUAAAAAUUUCCUAGUUGUAUGGUGCACCUAAAAGUAAAAUAAAAUAUGUUUGCAGCAAUACAAGUAAA